AACAAGACACAUUACUCGGAAACAUGCAUGAUUGAAGGAAUGAUGAUGGCAUCCCAAUUUCUCGCAAUGCCUCCUGGUAUAACAAACAUAGGCCUAGGAUCAAAUCCAGUCGCCUUUUCAGUAAUUGCAUUGACAAACCCAGCACUGUAGAAGGUUCCUGUGGAGACUCCUGAAGUUGGGGAAUAUCCGAGACCCUCUUUGUGCUUAUUCUCAAGGAGUUGUAUUA
rnacentral:lncRNA from 1 species